CCCCAUGGUAGUGAGGUGUUUCAGGGGUCAAGGCUUCUUGUGUGCGGUGGAUUUGCAUGUUUGUUUCGUGUGAGGUUGGCAUGCAAUUUUGUGUUGCGCCUGUGUUUCAAUAGCACAGCCAUCCACAUCAUGAAGUGUCCUACAACAGAAAGCCAUUAAAAAUACAGUUCCUGUAAAAUUAUACUGCGCUAAGAAAAAAACUAAACUACACAAUCUUUACACACUUUUUAAAAUGUGAAUCCUGAGAUUACUUUAAUGUUUUAACAAUGUUUCCUUUUUGUUUGCUAGGUGAUGAGACAGCAGAAUUAAGGGAGAUUUAUUUUUUAAAAAGACAUUUAAAACCUCACAAACUUUCUGUGACCUUCAGAUAUGCCUUUUUUCCUCCCCUCUUGCGAUGCUGAUAUCAUUAAGCCAUAGUCCUUCUGCAAUAGUGAGCAAUACAAUACAGAAGCAUAGGGUUCUAGUCUGUAAUCUGCAAGCAAAGAUGAGGAGAUGGUUGCAUUUAUGCUGUGUUGCUUUAGCCUGUCUAAUGAUAGCCUGAGUCACGUGUUAGAUUAACAAACAGCAAAAUUUUUGAAUCUACAAGCCGUUAGUAACCAUUGGAUAUUGGCUGUAAAAAACAGGCUUGAGAUUUUCCAUAGCUUAAAUUGUUUCUGUGAUCUGAAACAAAACAUGUUUAAUAAGUUAUUCAUAAUGCAUUGCUACAUUUUAUUUGAUCUAUGUAGUGCAGAGUGAGAAACAUUUUUAGUGGAAGCUGCAUAUUUUAAGAUUGUAGAUAACAAAAUAAAUACUUUGUCAUGUAUUUCUUUGGCUGAUUGACUUGGUAGAUUUGAGUAACCUACAUGGUUAAAACAUUUCUCUAAUGUAAUCGAGAUCAAUGCUUAUAGUUAAAGGACUGAAAACUUGAGAUGAUGAAUUUUCAUUAAAAAUCCUUGGGACUGGAGUUUAUUAGUGGGUACAUGCAGUUAUUUCUACAAUAAUUUUAAUAUGGGAUUUCAAAUGGGUGUAACUUGUAAUUCUGUUGUUACUUAAAGCUGGUUGCAUUUCUUGCUGCUUUCUUAAAGGUCUCCUGCAAACUUAAUACUUGGUAAAUAACAUUAUUGCUUCUGAGAUUUCAGAGGGUUUUUUAUUAUCAUCUCAUAAUAUGUGUGACUUACUGUGCUAGUAGUAAGAAUCUGCUGAUUUCAAGUGUUAACUUUGUUUACUGCUUGCUUUUAGGUAUGAUGGAAUGGAAGUUUUCAGUGGUGUCCAAUACAUUUUACAGAAACGUUGAGCCUUUCAUGGAAGCACUGUCGGAAGUAGAAGAAUACUUGGUGCACAUGAGUGGAUUUUCCUGAAAGCUAUGUGUGUUUUGAAUGACCAGUUGGAAUAAAUUAAUAUGAGUGGCACAAACAGCUUCUGAUAAUGGGAACAUAGGGAGUUCUGAUGAAAGAUUUCCUGGUGACUGUAGUACAACAGAUAGAGAGAUGCUUGAAGGCUACUUCUCACUUGAAGUGAUGAGUUGGAACACUUCGUCAAUGCCGCCUGACAAAUGUGGAUGAUCUGUAACUUGAAAGAGGCGUAACACCUGAAGAGUUCUUGUGGCUUGGAAUGGGAUGCCAUGCUUUUCAAAGACUACUAAAACAGCUGCUGCAAUUUUAUAUAGUGGAUACUGUUUUCAGAAAUUGCAUGUGAAACGAAGUAAUUGUCUCCGCAUAUUUAAGAUAGCGCUUUCCCACAACAUUGAAUUGCCCUCGGUAGGAAGGAUAGGUGAAAUAUUAGAGAAAUGGGUGUUGAGCCUGUUGAUAUGGGGGAACAAAAACUGAGAGUACUUGCCCUUUUAAAAAUCAUGGGGUAUACAGGCUUGCUGAUGCUGAAGAUGUGUAACACAAAGCAACGGAACUCUCAGGUGUGCCCUGUAAUGGCAGGGAGAAAACAGUAAUUCAAACUGACUCUGCUUUCUGAAGGUGGUGUUAUCUAGGAGACAGGAGGAAUGGAAACGUAAACAUGAAACACUUGUAAGAAAGAAAGUUCAGUGUUGGGAGGAAAGUUGUAGUUAAAGAAAAGUCUGAAAAUUGCAUUGGUAUCUGUAUCCUAGUGAAUGUGAGAGGAAUUGUGGGUUUUCGGGAUUGCCGCUUCUGUGUGAAAAUGAUGAUAUUGCAACAGUGGCACUGUCCAUUGAGGAGUGCGCUGUCAAUGUUACCUGCUGGCUGUGCAGGGAAAAGGUCAGUAUCGAGAGAAGAGCUCUGAAAGCAUGUGCUAAAAGUUCUGCUUUCAGCAGUCACUUGAGAAAGAGCCAUGAGUAACAGCAUAUUUGUUGUGUUCAGCAAGUUGGCACUAUUCUGCAGAGGAAUGAGGCAUCAUAAAGUGGUCACAGAGUAAAUUGGAGUUUAAAGACGAAUGUACACAUGAUGCAGUCUGUCUUAAGGUAUGGCUCUCAAACCUAAUUGUCAGGAAUGCUUUAUGAAGAAAGUAGUGUGACAAUGGCAUGAUGCCUAACAAUUGAGAGAGCUACAGUAAUUUCUAAAUUGACCAAAAGACAGGAAAAGCUGCCCUGUAGUCUGUGGUCAAAAUGGAGCAUCAGAUGCUAGCAGCCCUCUUCCUUUAGAGAGUUGGGAGGAAUUCCUAUAGCUGAUGGAAUAUGCACGUUUCUAAAUGACGCAUAACUUACAAACCCUAUUUUCUGUUAAAGUAGUACUACAAAGAGCAAAACACUACCAGUAGUGGUGUCUAAAGCAUUGAGGAUGUCAAAGAUCAGUAUCUGGCUAUUAAAAUACACACUACGGAUCUAAAUAAACUCUAGGAAUAUAAUGUCUCACUUUGGUGAGACAUUAAUAAGCGGUAACUAGCUACUUUGGCUAAAGGCUGCUCAUUCUCAGCAAGCAACUGUGUAAAUCAGUAUUUAAUAUAUCAGAAUCUGCAGAAACUUGCUACAGAACAGCUGUCUCAUCAUAGCUUUUAACAGGAUUUAUUAUUUCUUUUAACAUGUUACUGAAAAGGGUAGGUAUUUCCAUGUGCUGUGCUCUGUACAUGUUUCUUGAAUAAAGAUGAAGAUGUGUAAAACCUUACUGUUGCACGUGAGGUCUGCAGUCACACCAUGGUGUUCUUGAUAGCUUGUAGUUUGCAAGAGGUAUAAAGGCAACGAGGCUUUAUUGCACUGACUGGUACAGGCACAUACUGGACAUGCAAUACUCCACAUUGUGCUUGAGUGACUCCUGGGCAAUGUGAACUCUCAGUGAUUAUGUACUUCACAAGUGGGGAACGUACAAAUCUCUUGUCCUUUGAAAAGCUUGGGUGCAGUUGACAGCAUCUAGUAAAGCUGCUUGGAUGGUAAGUUGAAAAGCUCUCAGUCCUAGCUAGGUCAGUCUAUUCUGAAGGAAAAAAGAUGUCAAAGAUCAGAGACAUGGGUAAUGCAGCAGCCAUACUUGGUAAGUAAUUUUUUAGGUACUCCGAAGGGAUCUGUGUAUGACUUGCCUUACAGGGUCAAAAGAGUAUGUGGCGCGUGUUCUGGAGUGUAAAUCUAUCGUGUUUUUAUCCUUUGGGCUGAUGUUAGCAUGAAGCUUUUGAGGAGCUACUGCUAUGUAUAUAUCCAGUAAAAGUGAGAAUGAGUUACUCUUGUAAUUUCUGGGAUCAAAUAAAAGACUAGAGAUAAAAUUUUAGCAUUCUGAGUACCCAAACUACUUCACAUCAAUGUUCUGUGUGUUUUAAAACAUUCCUUGGAGGUGGUUUCUGAUCUAGGAUUGGCAGGAUUAGAUAAAGGGUGCCGGGGAACUGUGGUGUUAGGCAGAUCAGGUGGUGGUGGCCUGUCCGCAGGAGCAGUGUUUAAUCAUGAAAAAUGAGAACCUUUCAGCUGGUGUAGAAAACUCUAAAUGUGGCCAGUGGUAAGGUGUGGGCUAUUGAGCUGCAAACCUUUCUGUGUGAAUGUUUCUGCGCUUUAGGGCUGCAGAAGACAAGUAAUAAAAAACGUAUUAGUAGUAUAGAAACUGCAAAGUUUAGAAAAAUGUACAAAUGUUUUACUUGAGACAUAACACUCCAGAAGCUUUGGAAUAUAGAAGUAAUGAAAAUGAUGCAAGAUGAUCAUUUUUGUAACUAAUCUUAAGUUGGAAAGAAUAAUACUUGUAACAGGUUUUCGCUUGAUUGGAGGGGGAUAAUGUGUUUGUAGACCACUGUGAGUUUAGUUCCAGUAUUUUCUGGGCAUCUGAUAAGAUGUUUCGCACAAGUGAUUGAGAUGAGGAGGUGUAGUUGUGAAGAGCUAUUGCGUAACAAGUUUGUAACACGAUUUCUCUGCAAAAGCAUUUCAUUAAACUAGUUUUACAAAACAGCUUGCUAGGUUUAAAGCUUUGACUUGAGACUGUAGUACACAGCAUGAAAGCACUUUGCUUUUUUUGUACUUCAAAUAGUCUGGUGAAAUCUUGCACUAUGAUUAGUGUUGAACUGAAGAGUCACAUGGGUGUUGGGCCGUGCUCCAAGAAAUUAAUGGUUAGACAGACUUUGUUCUGGAAUAUUGCUGUGCGUCGGUCUUAUUAACUGGGCAUAAAGAUCAGCCUUUUUUGACUUAAAUGAGUGGUGUGCGUCUAAGGGGAAUACCUUGCAACCACCAAGGGUAGUUGUGCAUAAAUGCUUUAAGUAAUGAGGUCCCUGCUAAGGUAGGAGGUUUCGUCUGUUGCUGAAGAACUUGUCUUGCCAGUGGAGACUGUAGAUCUAUAAACAGAGUUGCAAGUGAGCGAAACUAAGCUAGCAGUGGUUAUCUUGCCACAGCACCCCUGCUGCUAUGUAGUGUAUUUGCCUGCUUGAAGUAACAGGAUUCUACUGAGCAGAAAUUUCUCUGUGAGCUGUGUUGUCAGGCUACGAGCCUGCAGGGAAGCGCACUGCCUUGGCUGCAGCUGUCUUGUGCUAGCUUCAAUGGGGCUGCUGCUUUCUGGUGCAGGCAAGCUCUUAAUUGUAGAAACAUGUCUUACAAAGCUUGGGUAUGAGUUUUACCAAUUAAAAAUGAGCAUUGAAAUUAAAUAAUAGUUAGUAGAGAAAGGGCUCCUUAAGACAGACAAGCAUGGACACAGCGGAGCAAGUGAAGUGUCAGACUUUGCCCAAGGAAAGGCAUUCACUGUAGUGGAGAGUAUUUAACCCUGGCUUUGGGUCAGUAGUUUUUUGGCACAACCCCUCCCACAGUUCUGAGGACAGAAUUGGAGUUAUAAUUAGAGUAUGAAUUUAACAGAUGAAUGUUAAUUUCGGAUGAAUGGAGUAUGGAUGGAGGCCUUUGUAUGCUCUAAAUGUACAUGUCCACUGAUCAACGUUGUCUCUAAUUUUUGUCAUUAGAACCAGUAUAACAAGCGUUUUUGCUUGUCUGCCCUUGUCUGUUCCCCUUGGAGGAUAUAAACUGGAAAAGUAAAAUUAAAAUUAUUAAUUCAGUUUUCUUUCAAACAUCACAUGGCUUUUUAGUUGAUAGUCCAGUUUGAGCUAUCAGGGCUAUGAAGACAGUACUUCUCUGCCAUUGUCUCAAACUUCCUGCAGGCUCCGGCAGACAAAGUGGUGUUUGAUGCUGGGAAGAAUGGCGGUAUUGAGUGGGACAAAGUCUGCCUCGCUCAGUAUUCUGUAUGAGGAUGACCAGUAUAAGGAACAGGAGAAGGACAGAGAGCCUUUCCAGCAGUUUGCUUGGGAACUUCCUGAGGAGAUUUUCAUUUGUAUUUGAAUACUACUUGGCAAUUACAACCUGUCUCCUUUUAAAAAUAUAUCAAACAUGAAUAUUAUGUUGUAAAAUAAUGAAGUUGUGUGUGUGUGUGUGUGUGUGUGUUAGUAACUGCAGGGAGGAGUGGUUUAGGAGGAGGUUGAAGCUUUUUACUCUUUGAAGCUGAUGUUGCUUUCAACUCUCACAAUUAAUGAAAACAGUGGCAAGUAGAGUCCAGUUAAGGCCCCACUGCCAGUCCAGCUUCACAGUUUCGUUUUGCUAUGAUGGUGAAAAUUUGAAGUACCAAUGUGUGCUCUUGCCUUCGUUAUCCCUCAUACUUCAGGCUUCUCACCAGACCAAUAACCACUAAAAAAGGUGGUUGGAUUUUGGGAUUGAUCCAGACCCUCCCUGUGAUUGGACUUCAUCAUAGGAGAGUUUGGGUUGGAAGAGACCUUAAAGCGCAUCUGGUUCCAACCCCCAUGUGAUGGACAGGGACACCUCCCACCAGACCAGGCUGCCCAAGGCCCCAUCCAACCUGGCCUUGAACACCUCCAGGGAUAGGGCAGCCACAGCUUCCCUGGGCAACCUGUGCCAGUGCCUCACCACUCUCAUGGUGAAGAAAUUCCUCCUUAUGUCUAGUCUAAAUUGAAGAGGAAGAAUAUACAGGUGUACAAUUAAAUCAGUGUACUUCACAUUACCUUGACAAAAUGGGAAAUAAUUUGCCCCUGCCUAAGUUGGUUGGGUUUUUUUUACCUCUGUUAGAAUGAGAGGUGUUGCAGAUACUAUCGAGUCUUCAGAGAAACAAUUGAGACUUACAGUCUUAUAUGUUAGCUCUGUCUACUAGUUAGGUAAUUUUCUACAACAGAAAACAAACUAAAUUGCCUCACUGUCUUAGUUUAAUUUCUUGUGCUCAAUCAGAAAAAUGCAAUAUUGAAACAUGAUGAGUGGCAGUUCUUAAUGUCGUUUGGACUUGACAAGUUAAACACUUCAGAGUAUGCUUAUUCAUUCCC